rnacentral:rRNA from 2 species
GUCAAAACGACUCUCGGCAACGGAUAUCUCGGCUCUCGCAUCGAUGAAGAACGUAGCGAAAUGCGAUACUUGGUGUGAAUUGCAGAAUCCCGUGAACCAUCGAGUCUUUGAACGCAAGUUGCGCCCGAAGCCUUCGGGCCGAGGGCACGCCUGCCUGGGCGUCACGCAUCGCGUCGC